AUCAGGAAUAUAUAGCCACAUAUAUAGUCUUAAAAUCCUUAUUCACUCUGAUCUUUGACUCGUAUUCUUAAAUACACAGAGGCAUAAUAGGAAUCUUUACAUACAGAGAAAACUGAGGCUGGAAUUUUCACACAGUCAAUAAGCAAGAAAUGUGAGGAACAGAGAAAAAGAGCGAUAUGGAGAUCAGAAAAGAAGAAUCACGUUCCUCUAGACUACAGGUGAACCGGUUUAACAUACUGCUAAAACAGGAGAGCACUGAUAAAAGACCAAAUUUUUCUCGUGAUUCUGGUGGUCUAGAACAAUGUCAGCCUGAUAUAUCUGAAGAGGUCCAUGAUAAGAGCAUGAGAACGUGACUGCAGUGACGUCAUCAACCUGUUCCAUCACCGCCGAAUGUUUAGAAUCUUAUUAGCUGAUAAGCAUGCUACAAAGUGACUCUGAAAUACUUAAGAUGCCUCCAGAGUGACAGUAACUCAAAAGCCACUGAACAACCUAGUCCAUUCAUGGGAAUUCACUGUCCAGUUUUCAGCAAUAGGAAAGGGGCAGCUGGAGAAACUUUAAGAAGAUGAUAAAACAGGAGAACUUGAAGUUUCAGUCUAGGUUCUUUAAAGUCCCAAUUUUCCUUUUGUCUUCUCUAAGAAUGAAUGAAUUUCCAAAAUUUUAAGAAAAUCGCAAGAAACAAUAGGAGGUUUUUUUUUACUCUGUACUCAGACAGAAACUUCUGAGGUUUGGAUUUUUUUUCUUUAGAAAGUUGUAUUUGUUUUACACUUCCAAAUAAAAUGUUUUUCUACAUAUAACACUCCCCGAGCAAGUUAAAGCCAUUUAUUACAAUAUUGCUAUAGGCACUUUUCAGUGAAAAACAGGUCUAUGUAGUUUACUGAUAAUGUUUAGGAAGUAAAGUAAUUGGAAACAGUGUUACAUAAUAACAAAACAGUAAAAUUUGCACAAAGAAUAGUGCAAAUGAUCUUUAUAAACUGUAUAUAAGAAUAAUUUACAUAAUAUAGAAGUUUUUCCUGAACGUGUAAGUCAUGCCUGACUCUUAACCGGAAGGAUGCUUUUCCGGUCUCCAGUGUUUCUAAUCAAAUUAGUGUAUAUUCCGAGCUGAUAAUCUAAUGUUAAACCUAUUAAAAUGUUUUUGAAAAGCACAUGGCUCCAUAGCGCCAUCACUUUGCAAUGUCACAAUGACUGUCAUUUGUCAGUGCUUCACUCCUCAAAGUUUAAUAAGUGUGUAGAUGACACAAAGCUGCCAACGUUAUCUACAUUAUAAACAGAUGAGCGCUAUUUGAAUGGGUUCCUAUAGAGACCGGAACAGAAGAGCAUCCAGUUGUAAGUCAGAAUUCAUAAUGGCGGUGAUCGUAUCUCAUAUCUCAA